rnacentral:rRNA from 1 species
GGGUUUUCCGUAUGGGACCUGCGGAGGAUCAUUAACGUGUACGGUGUUUGUUCGUCGUACGUGUAAAAUAAUCCAUAGUCAUAUCAUAGAGAGGUGAAAUUCCGCAAGCCUCUCGGUAUCUUGACGCGGUUAGAUGGAGCGCGCGAGAGCGCGCUCGUUCUAAGACAUUUUCGUUUGUUAAUUUUUUUUUCUUUUUCAGGUAAUCAAAAACCACUACCCUGGACGGUGGAUCACUUGGCUCGCGGGUCGAUGAAGGACGCAGUUAACUGCGCGUCAUAGUGUGAACUGCAGGACACAUUUGAACAUCGACAUUUCGAACGCACAUUGCGGUCCCUGGAGACACAUCCGGGACCACUCCUGUCUGAGGGCCGGCUGCAUAAAAACAAAGACCACACUGCGCCGUCUCACGGCGCACUUGACGGUUCCGACUCUGGUCCGUUCAAAUAUGGAUCGUGUAAGAUCGCUGACACGGGUGAGCUCUCGAGGCGCACCGAAGCGACUCUUCGGACUCUCUCGAGUACGCGAGAGUGUGUUCGGUGUCUCUGCUUCGGAGCUCGAGCUUCCCGUUACGGCAGGUAGGCGGACUCGACGUCCGAAGGGCGUAUCGAUAUUGUUAUCGUGCGCUGACGGAUAUCGAGUCUGCCUCUCAUUUUAUCGUUGGCCUCAGAUCACGGAGGAUCACCCGCCGAAUUUAAGCAUAUCAUAAAACCGGAGGAAAGACGAUGUUCAAAUGUGUCGCGGCAGGUAGCCCUGUGACGCGCCGGUUAACUGGCGUCUUUCUUCGACCCGCGAGCCAAGUGGUCCACCGUCAAGGGAGUGGUGUUGAGUUCC